rnacentral:rRNA from 1 species
AUUGAACGCUGGCGGCAGGCCUAACACAUGCAAGUCGAACGGUAACAGGGAUCCGCUUGCUGAUUCGCUGACGAGUGGCGGACGGGUGAGUAAUGUCUGGGAAACUGCCUGACGGAGGGGGAUAACUACUGGAAACGGUAGCUAAUACCGCAUAACGUCGCAAGACCAAAGAGGGGGACCUUCGGGCCUCUUGCCAUCGGAUGUGCCCAGAUGGGAUUAGCUAGUAGGUGGGGUAACGGCUCACCUAGGCGACGAUCCCUAGCUGGUCUGAGAGGAUGACCAGCCACACUGGAACUGAGACACGGUCCAGACUCCUACGGGAGGCAGCAGUGGGGAAUAUUGCACAGUGGGCGCAAGCCUGAUGCAGCCAUGCCGCGUGUAUGAAGAAGGCCUUCGGGUUGUAAAGUACUUUCAGCGGGGAGGAAGGGAGUAAAGUUAAUACCUUUGCUCAUUGACGUUACCCGCAGAAGAAGCACCGGCUAACUCCGU